rnacentral:rRNA from 1 species
UACGUAGGUCCCGAGCGUUGUCCGGAUUUAUUGGGUGUAAAGCGAGCGCAGGUGGUUUAUUAAGUCUGGUGUAAAAGGCAGUGGCUCAACCAUUGUAUGCAUUGGAAACUGGUAGACUUGAGUGCAGGAGAGGAGAGUGGAAUUCCAUGUGUAGCGGUGAAAUGCGUAGAUAUAUGGAGGAACACCGGUGGCGAAAGCGGCUCUCUGGCCUGUAACUGACACUGAGGCUCGAAAGCGUAGGGAGCAAACAGG